rnacentral:sRNA from 12 species
UGCCCACCCAUUACGGGUUAAGCCCAUACGGACAGGCGGGGCAGCUGCCGA